AUGCGUCUGAUUAGCUUGUUGGCGGGGUAACGGCCCACCAAGGCUACGAUCAGUAGGGGUUCUGAGAGGAAGGUCCCCCACAUUGGAACUGAGACACGGUCCAAACUCCUACGGGAGGCAGCAGUGAGGAAUAUUGGUCAAUGGGCGAGAGCCUGAACCAGCCAAGUAGCGUGCAGGAUGACGGCCCUAUGGGUUGUAAACUGCUUUUAUAAGGGAAUAAAGUGAGCCUCGUGAGGCUUUUUGCAUGUACCUUAUGAAUAAGGACCGGCUAAUUCCGUGCCAGCAGCCGCGGUAAUACGGAAGGUCCGGGCGUUAUCCGGAUUUAUUGGGUUUAAAGGGAGCGUAGGCCGGAGAUUAAGCGUGUUGUGAAAUGUAGGAUGCUCAACAUCUGCACUGCAGCGCGAACUGGUUUCCUUGAGUACGCACAAAGUGGGCGGAAUUCGUGGUGUAGCGGUGAAAUGCUUAGAUAUCACGAAGAACUCCGAUUGCGAAGGCAGCUCACUGGAGCGCAACUGACGCUGAAGCUCGAAAGUGCGGGUAUCGAACAGGAUUAGAUACCCUGGUAGUCCGCACGGUAAACGAUGGAUGCCCGCUGUUGGUCUGAAUAGGUCAGCGGCCAAGCGAAAGCAUUAAGCAUCCCACCUGGGGAGUAC
rnacentral:rRNA from 1 species